GGGGAAUAUUGGGCAUGGGCGCAAGCCUGACCCAGCAACGCCGCGUGAAGGAAGAAGGCUUUCGGGUUGUAAACUUCUUUUGACAGGGAAGAGCAGAAGACGGUACCUGUCGAAUAAGCCACGGCUAACUAC
rnacentral:rRNA from 1 species